rnacentral:rRNA from 1 species
AUUGAACGCUGGCGUCAGGCCUAACACAUGCAAGUCGAGCGAGCGGCGGACGGGUGAGUAAUGUCUGGGACACUGCCUGAUGGAGGGGGAUAACUACUGGAAACGGUAGCUCAUACCGCAUACCAUCAGAUGUGCCCAGAUGGGAUGAGCUAGUAGGUGGGGUAACGGCUCACCUAGGCUACGAUCCCUAGCUGUUCUGAGAGGAUGACCAGACACACUGGAACGGAGACACGGUCCAGACUCCGACGGGAGGCAGCAGUGGGGAAUAUUGCACAAUGGGCGCAAGCCUGAUGCAGCCAUGCCGCGUGUGGGAAGAAGGCCUUCGGGGUGGAAAGCACUUUCAGCGGGGAGGCGUUACCCGCAGAAGAAGCACCGGAUAACUCCGUGCCAGCAGCCGCGGUAAUAC